rnacentral:rRNA from 1 species
GACGUAGGGCGCGAGCGUUGUCCGGAUUUAUUGGGCGUAAAGAGCUCGUAGGCGGCUUGUCGCGUCGUUCGUGAAAACCUGCGGCUCAACUGCAGGCUUGCGGUCGAUACGGGCAGGCUGGAGUUCGGCAGGGGAGACUGGAAUUCAAGGUGUAGCGGUGAAAUGCGCAGAUAUCUUGAGGAGCACCGGUGGCGAAGGCGGGUCUCUGGGCCGAUACUGACGCUGAGGAGCGAAAGCGUGGGGAGCGAACAGG